GUGUUGUAUGAAAAGAGACAAGGCUAGUGCUUCCCUUGACAAGGAGGGAGAGGCCCGUGGACCUUACAACAUGCGUGUGUUAAGGCAAUGCCCCCUGCUUCGUGGCAUCUAAAGAUGGUU